GACAGAGGAUGCAAGCGUUAUCCGGAAUGAUUGGGCGUAAAGCGUCUGUAGGUGGCUUUUUAAGUCCGCCGUCAAAUCCCAGGGCUCAACCCUGGACAGGCGGUGGAAACUACCAAGCUGGAGUACGGUAGGGGCAGAGGGAAUUUCCAGUGGAGCGGUGAAAUGCGUAGAGAUUGGGAGGAACAUCUGUGGCGAAGGCGACUACCUGGACCAGCACUGACACUGAGGCACGAAAGCAUGGGGAGCAAACAGG
rnacentral:rRNA from 1 species